AUUCCAAGGGAGAGAAGAAAGCAACCCCAGGAAGCCUGGCCCCGAAGACUGUGAGGUAUGGUGGGGCCUUGCUGUGCUCUGGACUGGACAAGAGGCACCCUGGGCUCUGGACACAGCCAGAUCUUCAGCCAAUUGCAUCUCCGGCCCAGGGCAGGCCCUUUAUCUUAUAGCCCAGUGGUGCCUCUCUCCUCACCUAGGAAACAAAGCCAACAGGAUCUGCACCACCUCUGCCUCCCGGACAUUGGAAGGACUAAAUAAGAUCAGAGACCUCAUUCCUAGAUGGAACGAGGAAUGGUAGCGACCACGAUCCUCCCCUCCCAGGAUCUGCGCCACAAGGGAAGAUCAGAACCUUCAGCUGCCAGAAGCACUGUGGCGGAAAUGUAGGUCCCCAUCCAGGCUGAUCUGAGCUUGGCUUUCUGGAGCACGCAAACCUCGAUGCACUGAACUGCUGCCGGACCUCACCUUGCCAGGCCCACUGUGCUCACACUCACACAUCGCUCCAUCCACUGGAGGCUGCAGAGGCAAGAUCCACCAAGAAGAUGGUCUUCCUGUCCAGGAUGCCCUUCCCUGAGAGAAGUGUAUUUAAUCUUAAAUUCAGAUGUUUGUUUGUCUACCCACUUAAAACACCCUGUUGAAUAAAAAUUACUCAAGGAA
rnacentral:lncRNA from 1 species